rnacentral:rRNA from 1 species
CUAGAAGAUGACGAGCGGCGGACGGGUGAGUAACGCGUAGGAAUCUGCCUAGUAGUGGGGGACAACAUGUGGAAACGCAUGCUAAUACCGCAUACGCCCUACGGGGGAAAGGAGGGGAUCUUCGGACCUUUCGCUAUUAGAUGAGCCUGCGUGAGAUUAGCUAGUUGGUGGGGUAAAGGCCUACCAAGGCGACGAUCUCUAGCUGGUCUGAGAGGAUGAUCAGCCACACUGGGACUGAGACACGGCCCAGACUCCUACGGGAGGCAGCAGUGGGGAAUAUUGGACAAUGGGCGCAAGCCUGAUCCAGCCAUGCCGCGUGUGUGAAGAAGGCCUUAGGGUUGUAAAGCACUUUCAGGAGUGAGGAAGGGCGUAUAGUUAAUACCUGUAUGUUUUGACGUUAACUCCAGAAGAAGCACCGGCUAACUCUGUGCCAGCAGCCGCGGUAAUACAGAGGGUGCGAGCGUUAAUCGGAAUUACUGGGCGUAAAGCGCGCGUAGGCGGUUUGUUAAGUCGGAUGUGAAAUCCCAGGGCUCAACCUUGGAAUGGCACCCGAUACUGGCAGGCUAGAGUACGGUAGAGGGGUGUGGAAUUUCCUGUGUAGCGGUGAAAUGCGUAGAUAUAGGAAGGAACAUCAGUGGCGAAGGCGACAC